rnacentral:tRNA from 1 species
UCCAUUGCUUAGUUGGUAAAGCACAAGGCUCUUAAUCUUGUGGACGUGGGUUCAAGCCCUACGCUGGAG